rnacentral:rRNA from 1 species
GUGGGGAAUCUUCCGCAAUGGACGAAAGUCUGACGGAGCAACGCCGCGUGAGUGAAGAAGGUUUUCGGAUCGUAAAGCUCUUUCGUUAGGGACGAACGUGCUCUUUGUGAAUAAUGAGGAGUAAUGACGGUACCUAAAUAAGAAGCAACGGCUAACUACGUGCCAGCAGCCGCGGUAAUACGUAGGUGGCAAGCGUUGUCCGGACUUAUUGGGCGUAAAGCGCGCGCAGGCGGGAUAUCAAGUCUGUCUUAAAAGUGCGAGGCUCAACCUCGUGAGGGGACAGAAACUGGUAUUCUUGAGUGUCGGAGAGGAAAGUGGAAUUCCAAGUGUAGCGGUGAAAUGCGUAGAGAUUUGGAAGAACACCAGUGGCGAAGGCGACUUUCUGGACGAUGUCUGACGCUGAGGCGCGAAAGCUAGGGGAGCGAACGGGAUUAGAAACCCGGGUAGUCC